rnacentral:misc_RNA from 1 species
UUGUACACACCGCCCGUCACACCAUGGAAGCUGGCAACGCCCGAAGUCAUUACCCCAACUUUUAGGAGAGGGGGAUGCCUAAGGCAGUGCUGGUGACUGGGGUGAAGUCGUAACAAGGUAGCCGUACCGGAAGGUGUGGCUGGAUCACCUCCUUUUAGGGAGACCUACCCAACUGUAAAAUCGGUUGCCAAAAGCAAGAUAGAGAAUACAGAUGGUCAAACCUAGGUCGGUCGAGGUUGGUUAGAGCUUUCAAAGUAUUGCUUGGUUUAGAAAGUAUUGUUUGGUUUAGUCAGCAUUUCAUAAAUAAGGAAAAAACAGCAACUAACGUGGUUAGACUGCUGGGAAAAAAAUCCUAGCCAGAACCUUGAAAACUGCAUAGAAACGCGAUUUAAUUGCAGGCAGACACAGACAUUGAAAGAUGAAAGUGAAUGCAGGUGAGACACCAAAUGUAUAGUGGUCAAGCGAAUAAGAGCUAAUGGUGGAUACCUAGGCACACAGAG